rnacentral:lncRNA from 1 species
CGACAGAUCCACAGCUUCCUCCACAACUCUUCCCUCCACUCUAUCUCUCUCUAAUUCUAUAAGAUCUAACCCUAAUCUCUCUAGAAGACUACAAGGCUAGCCUACUCUUGAAUGCUUGGCUCGAAUCCUUGGUGGAAGAUAAUGAAUUAGGGUUUCUAGGAUUGCCUCUUCCAAUGGAUAGGGCCCUCCUUAUAUAGGCCGGU